AGGCAGAUCACCGUGCAACUUGGUGAAGUCAUGUGUCUUUCCAGAUGGCCAAAUCUGUACCCCUCAAAAAAACUUUAUUAAAUGCCAUGAUAGACAAGAUGAGCCUUAAGAGGAGAUUUGGGAAGAUGCUGUUUCAUAAGUCUUUGCUUUGCCAGAUUAUCUGUGGUUGGGGUGUCUGCCAACGUGAUGCCUUGCUGGUCUGGUUUGAGUUUGAAGUCUCUCACGGACCGUCCAGAAGGUCU